rnacentral:rRNA from 1 species
GACGAACCGAGCGAACGUUGUUCGGAAUCACUGGGCUUAAAGGGCGCGUAGGCGGGCUGCCAAGUCCGUGGUGAAAUCCCCCGGCUCAACCGGGGAAGGGCCUCGGAUACUGGCGGCCUCGAGGGGGGUAGGGGCGUGCGGAACUGUGGGUGGAGCGGUGAAAUGCGUUGAUAUCCACAGGAACUCCGGUGGCGAAGGCGGCACGCUGGACCACAUCUGACGCUGAGGCGCGAAAGCCAGGGGAGCGAACGGG